AUUGAACGCUGGCGGCAUGCCUUACACAUGCAAGUCGAACGGCAGCACGGGAGCAAUCCUGGUGGCGAGUGGCGAACGGGUGAGUAAUAUAUCGGAACGUGCCCAGUCGUGGGGAUAACGCAGCGAAAGCUGUGCUAAUACCGCAUACGAUCUAAGGAUGAAAGCGGGGGACUCGCAAGAGCCUCGCGCGAUUGGAGCGGCCGAUAUCAGAUUAGGUAGUUGGUGGGGGUUAAAGGCUCACCAAGCCAACGAUCUGUAGCUGGUCUGAGAGGACGACCAGCCACACUGGAACUGAGACACGGUCCAGACUCCUACGGGAGGCAGCAGUGGGGAAUUUUGGACAAUGGACGCAAGUCUGAUCCAGCCAUUCCGCGUGCAGG
rnacentral:rRNA from 1 species